rnacentral:rRNA from 1 species
GACGAACGCUGGCGGCGUGCCUAAUACAUGCAAGUAGAACGCACAGUUUAUACCGUAGCUUGCUACACCAUAAACUGUGAGUUGCGAACGGGUGAGUAACGCGUAGGUAACCUGCCUGGUAGCGGGGGAUAACUAUUGGAAACGAUAGCUAAUACCGCAUAAUAUUGAUUAUUGCAUGAUAAUUGAUUGAAAGAUGCUAUUGCAUCACUACCAGAUGGACCUGCGUUGUAUUAGCUAGUAGGUGAGGUAACGGCUCACCUAGGCGACGAUACGGAGCCGACCUGAGAGGGUGAUCGGCCACACUGGGACUGAGACACGGCCCAGACUCCUACGGGAGGCAGCAGUAGGGAAUCUUCGGCAAUGGACGAAAGUCUGACCGAGCAACGCCGCGUGAGUGAAGAAGGUUUUCGGAUCGUAAAGCUCUGUUGUAAGAGAAGAACGGGUGUGAGAGUGGAAAGUUCACACUGUGACGGUAUCUUACCAGAAAGGGACGGCUAACUACGUG